GGAUGCGAUCAUACUAGCACUAAAGCACCGGAUCCCAUCAGAACUCCGAAGUUAAGUGUGCUUGGGCGAGAGUAGUACUAGGAUGGGUGACCUCCUGGGAAGUCCUCGUGUUGCAUCCC
rnacentral:rRNA from 1 species